UCAGGAUGAACGCUAGCUACAGGCUUAACACAUGCAAGUCGAGGGGCAGCAUGAGAUUAGCUUGCUAAUCUUGAUGGCGACCGGCGCACGGGUGAGUAACGCGUAUCCAACCUUCCCCCUACUCAGGCAUAGCCCGGUGAAAACCGGAUUAACUCCUGAUAGUUUCACUAGAUGGCAUCUGACGGUGAAUAAAGCUUUGCGGUAAGGGAUGGGGAUGCGUCUGAUUAGCUUGUUGGCGGGUAACGGCCACCAAGGCGACGAUCAGUAGGGGUUCUGAGAGGAAGGUCCCCCACAUUGGAACUGAGACACGGUCCAAACUCCUACGGGAGGCAGCAGUGAGGAAUAUUGGUCAAUGGGCGCGAGCCUGAACCAGCCAAGUAGCGUGCCAGGAAGACGGCCCUAUGGGUUGUAAACUGCUUUUGUGCGGGAAUAAAGUCAGGGACGUGUCCCUGUUUGCAUGUACCGCAAGAAUAAGGACCGGCUAAUUCCGUGCCAGCAGCCGC
rnacentral:rRNA from 1 species